rnacentral:lncRNA from 1 species
AAAAUAAAGGCCUGACUUCUAGUCAUGUGAGGUAUGGUUCUUGCAAAGUUAGACUUACCUAAUAAAUAACUUGACGAACCCAGCGCUCGUCCAAGAAUUAUGAUCUAGCUUUAAAGAACUUAUCUAAACCCAACCCUUAAUGAGACUUAAAGUGACCCAAACUAGACCUUUAUACACCUAGGGAUGUCAAUGAUUCAGUGAGUUGCAGUUUAUAAUUUAACCUUUCAAAUCUUACACCUUGGCUCCACCCUAGAGGUGAAAAUAGAUCGGAUAAUAUCCAUUCGGAUCUAUUUUCGUAUCCAAAUAUACCCGGAUAUGGAUAAAAAUUUGAGGAUCCUAGCUACUAAUAUCCAUAUCUGUAUCCAUAUCCAUUAAAAAAAAUAAAGAUGGAUAUGGAUAAACAACUAUUCGAUCCGUAUCUAAAUAUCUGAUCCCAUUUAUAAUUCUAUCGAAUUUUAUAUAGCACUAUAAACUUUUAAGAAAAAUAAAUGACCAAAUUAACAUGCAAUUAACUUGAUUUAUCAUCUACUUAGUAAUAUCUUUGAAUAUGUAGUCAUAAAUUUUAAUUAUCCGAUUUAUACCCAUAAUUAUAUCCAUACUUUCUGUAUCCAAUUUAUAUCCAUAUCCGUAUCCGUUAAAAAUAGAUGUAAAUAUAAAUUUUUGCAUCCAACUAAAAUCUGUAUCUAUAUCUCUAUUCAUCAAACAAAUUAAAUAUGCAUUUGGCUAUACUAGGAUCCAAUCCGGUUUUAGCCCUACUCAACCCAUUAACAUCCCUUGGUACCCCAAGUGGAAACUAAGGGAAAACAUAACAAACAGAGGACAACUUCAGACUACACUGACCAAAUAAUCCCAUAUGCUCUUUCUCUUGCCAAGUGAACUGUUGAGAUAGACUCAAUAAGAUGGUUAUUUUUCCCUACGUUUAUGUGUGCGCAUGCAGAGAGAGAUCACUUGAGGGACAAGAGGGAAGAAGUAUGAAUAUUAUAGGAUUAUUAGUUUGUAAAUUGGUUAUUUUGCUCUUGUUUAUACAAAUAUAAUGAGGAUGAUACAAUCUGGACUCAAACCCAGGACUUCUUCCAUGGGAAAAGGAUGGCUGAGCCAAGUCCAAUUGGCCUUUGAUCAUUCUUGUCACCUGAGCCCAACUACAACGUUUUAACCCUCGCUAACACUCUUCACCCCUAUGUUGAAAGUUUGGUUGGGAGUUCCAACUUCCAUUGCCCAAUUAUGUUAUUUCACAGAUAAUUACUGCUUGGCUUCUAACAAGUUAGUCAAGUACUUAUAUUUGUAUAUAAGUAGAUUUUUAACAAAUUGAAUUAGCUAUACAAAUGCUGAAUUACAUUUAGUCCUUUGGUUUCGCUCCUAUCCUUAGCACAUGUCAUUCUGGAUUCAUGUCAAGAAGUGGUAUUUUCGUUGAGAAAAUACCUCUGCAAUAAUCCAAGAUAUCACCCGAAAAAAGUAGUCAUAAUGUAUUAUUUGAGUUUUCAGGCUUUGUAUAAGUCUCCAAGAUCUUUUUAGUAUAUAAUUGAUAUGAGAUUGAAUACAUGUUUAUAUAAAUCCUCGUAUAUCCCUUCAAUUUAACUCCUGGCAUCCUCUUCUAACUAAAAAACUAAAAUCUAAAAAUCAAAUUCAUACACAAAUACUAUGAUCAACCUGUGAUUAGUCUCGAAAGGAUCCAUACUAUAGUAUCUCCUAGACCAUAGACUAAGGCUGAUCAUAUCAUUUGUAACAAUCUAAAACCUCAUUCUAAAAGGUUAAUCUGAUGUGUUAUUUAGAUUUUUUGGCCCAUAUAAAUGUCUAAGAUUAUCUCAACAUACAACAGAUGUAAGAUUCAACAUAUUCUAUCGAAGUUUAGACCUAAAACUCAUAUUGUACAAAGUGGUCAACAACUAGGUUAAAAGCCAAGAAUGGGUCAUGAUCACAGCAACAAAUAAGGAUUUGUUUCGGACUAAACCCAACCAUUCAAGGCCACAUGGCACGUGCAUCCCAAACUACACGUGGCCACCAAACUAUUAUGAACCACCUGAUUUUCCCCUUCGAUGAAUGAUUUCCCAAAGUAUUCCUUGUUUAGCUAAUUUUUGAUUGCAAUUAUGUAAUUGUUCAUAAAUUUUUGAUGAAAUUUAUAAAUUACAAAUUAGUAGUGCUAUGUAUUUUUGCCAAUGGUGUUCUUUUUGUGAUUGUUGUGCCAUCUCUCAUGCCCUUGUGUCAUGCAUUUCAAGUUACCCAAUGUGUCCUAUACACCAAAUCCCCGUGUACAUGCAAUUAUCACGUCUAAUAAAAGAUUCCCAUAAAUUUACUAGCAAAUUUUUCAUGCGGAUGAGAGUUCCAAUCCUACUAGGUCAACGGAAUUAAAACCAAGGUACCAGCUACCAUCAAAAUCAUACUUUCAUGCUUGUGAAAAGUUCCUCCAUUUUUGCGAGGAAUAUAGGUAUAAAAGCCUUCAGUAGACAUCAAACAUGUACCAAUACAUCAUAAGUGGUUAUCAUAGAUACAUAUUAGGAUCUAUUAUACAUGUACUAAUACUAUAACAACCUAAGACCUUACCCAAAAUGGCUAGCCGGAAGCUAUUAUUUGGGUUCCUUGAUCCUGUAUAAGUACCCAAAAUCUAUCCUAGUAAAUAAUUGAUGUGGGACUAAACACACGUCCUCACAUACUUCUCCCAUUCAAGCCCUAACAUUCUCGUCAAGCUAAGGGUUCAAAUCUAAUCACAAACACUACGAUCGGCUCGUGGUCAGCCCCAAUGGAUCCGUAUUGCAG